GGAGAGUUUGAUCAUGGCUCAGGACGAACGCUGGCGGCGUGCCUAACACAUGCAAGUCGAACGAGGUCGCCUUCGGGCAAUGACCUAGUGGCGAACGGGUGCGUAACACGUGAGGAACCUGCCCCGAAGACUGGGACAACCACGGGAAACUGUGGCUAAUACCAGAUGCCCUCCUCUGAUCGCAUGAUCGGAUGAGGAAAUGCUCCGGCGCUUCGGGAGGGCCUCGCGGCCUAUCAGCUUGUUGGUGGGGUAACGGCUCACCAAGGCAGUGACGGGUAGCUGGUCUGAGAGGACGAUCAGCCACACUGGGACUGAGACACGGCCCAGACUCCUGCGGGAGGCAGCAGUGGGGAAUCUUGCGCAAUGGGCGAAAGCCUGACGCAGCAACGCCGCGUGGGGGAUGAAGGCUCUCGGGUUGUAAACCCCUUUCAGCAGGGACGAAAUUGACGGUACCUGAAGAAGAAGCCCCGGCCAACUACGUGCCAGCAGCCGCGGUGACACGUAGGGGGCGAGCGUUGUCCGGAAUUAUUGGGCGUAAAGAGCUCGUAGGCGGUUUAGUAAGUCAGAUGUGAAAGGUUGGGGCUCAACCCUAAGACUGCAUCCGAUACUGCUAUGACUAGAGUCCGGUAGAGGAGUGUGGAAUUCCUGGUGUAGCGGUGAAAUGCGCAGAUAUCAGGAGGAACACCGACGGCGAAGGCAGCACUCUGGGCCGGUACUGACGCUCAGGAGCGAAAGCGUGGGUAGCAAACAGGAUUAGAUACCCUGG
rnacentral:rRNA from 2 species